rnacentral:rRNA from 1 species
UGGGGAAUAUUGGACAAUGGGCGCAAGCCUGAUCCAGCCAUGCCGCGUGAGUGACGAAGGCCUUAGGGUUGUAAAGCUCUUUCGGCGGGGAAGAUAAUGACGGUACCCGCAGAAGAAGCCCCGGCUAACUCUGUGCCAGCAGCCGCGGUAAUACAGAGGGGGCAAGCGUUGUUCGGAAUCACUGGGCGUAAAGCGCACGUAGGUGGAUAGUUAAGUUCGGGGUGAAAUCCCAGGGCUCAACCCUGGAACUGCCUCGGAUACUGGCUAUCUCGAGUCCGGAAGAGGUGAGUGGAAUUCCUAGUGUAGAGGUGAAAUUCGUAGAUAUUAGGAAGAACACCGGUGGCGAAGGCGGCUCACUGGUCCGGUACUGACACUGAGGUGCGAAAGCGUGGGGAGCAAACAGGAUUAGAUACCCAGUAGUCCCUGAGCGGGCUGGCAAGGCGCAU